AUCCUUUUGUAGUUCAGAAGUGUAAUGAUUGGGUCUUCAGGCGCAUGCGUGAGAUGUGCCUCCCACAAAUCUUGUUAUGACAGCACAUUACCCAUCUGACG